rnacentral:rRNA from 1 species
UACGUAGGGGGCUAGCGUUGUCCGGAUUUAUUGGGCGUAAAGCGCGUGUAGGCGGCCAGGUAGGUCCGUUGUGAAAACUCGAGGCCCAACCUCGAGAUGUCGACGGAAACCCUCUGGCUAGAGUCCGGAAGAGGAGAGUGGAAUUCCUGGUGUAGCGGUGAAAUGCGCAGAUAUCAGGAAGAACACCAAUGGCGAAGGCAGCUCUCUGGGACGGUACUGACGCUGAGACGCGAAAGCGUGGGGAGCGAACAGG